AGCUGUAAAUCGUUAGCCAUUUCAUUGUGUAGGUCUCAGGAUGCCGAGGACCUGUGUAGCUGAUGUCGGCAGAGUCAGCACCGUUGGUCUCACGAUGACUACUUUCAAAGGCCAGAGAACCCGACUAAUCAUGUAAUGUAGAAUCUUGUUAAUGUAACAAGUAUCACUGACAAUGUCUUCGGAGUCACACCUACUUCCAUAGCAACCAUGCAGUGUGAGGGAGGCAUGGUCAGAGAGAGAGACAUCACGCCUUAUGCUUCCCUGAUACUCUCCUAACAAUGGUGACAGAUUAAAACAAUUAUUAUACUCGUGUAUUCUAUACUCUUACAUUCUAUAGAUAAUCAUACAAAUUCCUUACAGUGCAUUCAUUUUCAUGUAUAUUGAUGAAUCGUAUAACGCCUGAUGCCCGUAACGGGGGAAGCAUCUCCUCUGCUUGCUCCUGCCUUCCACCCACCGCUCUUCACUCACGGGUAGCAAUGGAGACGAAUCAAAUGAGGUUUCGAAGCUCCAAAGUGUCUGUGGAGAUGUCUUCAAGCCCUGCGUGUGGCGGCUUGCGGCAUUGCUUCUCCAGCCGUCCCCAAGCAUACGACUUGGCUGCUGAAGUUGCCACGCAAAUCCAUCCUCGGGGGACGACCAUUCCACAGUAACAGGAGCGGCGUGUGGUGACUGCUGUGCCAGACGCAUCUCCAGCAUCGCUUACUUUCGAAAUUCUUUCAUGUGAAGCAAUUGUAUAUACUACUACUCUGUGUGUGUGUGAGACUCGUGGGCUGGCAGUGUUGCCGGUUAGUGAGCAUCAGUGUUGUGAGAGUCUUUUUU